CUUAUAUGUGCUAUCGCACUCAUUUGUUAACGAACCAUUAUAGCCAACUUCAAAUCCUGGCAAAAUUGAAUAUUGCCCUAUAAAAUACCACAAAAUUCCCGAGUAGGAUUGUAUCAAGCUACGGUCACACUUGAUUUGCAUACUUCCGUUCUCUUUUCGUGAAGGCGUGAUCGAGUGCAGUUUAACUUUAUGCAAAAUCCAUGAUUAAAAAUCCACGAGCAUCGUGUGGUUUGGAUAAUAGUUUUUCAAGGCAAAUACUGCCAAGUGAUAGUUUCCUUUAACUGCGUCGCUGCCGGUCCCACAUUUGGAGAUAGAAUUCUUAGUGGCUGCGUCGCCAAGGCGAAAUAUUUACAACUGCUUGCAUCAGGAGCACCCACCGCGUGCAGCGGAAAGCUGGGCUUGUCCUCUUCUACUGCCGACAGAUCGCAGGUCAACCCACCACCCCAGAGUUGGCGUUCUUUUUUUCUACUCUUCAUCGCCGCACGCAGGAAGCAGAUCGCCGUGCAUCCAUUUUAUGCACAAGUCAGCUUGGUGUCUUCUUCAUCCGUGCGCAUUCCAAGAAUAUUUGUGCACAACACGAGCCCCAGGCUGUUGGCCUUGUCGCUGCGUAUGCUGCGAACGUGAAGCAGCCGCAACACGAAUGAUCGUGUCCAGUAUUAAGUAUCUUUAGAAUAGUUUUUUCAUAAUUGUGUUAAUUUUACCUAAAAAUAUUUACUUAUAAAUUUCUACGAUUCUAAUUUAGCUUAACUUGUGGGAGAUCUGACAAGUAUAUAUAUGUGAUUUUCCCGAUUUAUAUUAAUACCUACAGCAAAUCAUCAACAGUCAUCAGGCCUGCUGACAUCGAUGGAAAGUGCGUGAGUACGGAACAAAAAUAAUAAAAACACACACGUAUAUAUAAAAAGUCAGAUAUUCCUAAAUAGUGUGCUUAAAAUACCUUGCCUUAAUUAAUCAUAUAUCUAGAUCUCUUAAUUUAAAGAAGUUUAAAGUUUAAAUAUACAUUAAUCAUACAUAAUUCUAUUGUAAAGUAAGCCAAACAAACAUAAGUAGUAAUGUAAACUUAAAUACCAAUAUUUGCAUUCCUAUCAUAAUUAUUUUUCCUUUAUUUUGUCGUGGAUAAGCAAAAUUACUCAAUAAGAGAUUUCCUUAACGUAAAUAACGUAAUUUUUAGUUUAAGGAUUAGGUUUAGGAAAAUGUAUCGAAAUAUUAUCUUUAUCUUCAAUUAUAUGGGGUCGAAAAUGAACUAAUCUGAUGUCUUGUUGGGCACCAAAGGGUAUGUAAAGCAGCGGUUGUAAAAGGGUGGAGUCCGAAUGUAUUUUACAGGUAAGGCCAAUAACAUCUGGGCCUCAUCUUCAAUAGGUACACUUUCUUGUCUGGGUCUUAGCCGUUUGGUUAUCGUUUUGCAUCUAUCGUAUCUCUGUCCACAGUAUUGUAGCUGUGACACUCUUGUUCAUCUCAACACAAAACCCACGCCCAUUCUCCCUGAGCAUGCCGGUCAAAAUAGUAGACAGAGUGUGUUGAGGUGGACAACGCUCUAUGAGUGUGUUCGUUACAGUUAUAACCUACUGUUCACAAGGUGUUAGUUCAUGGGCAUCAAAUUAUAGAUAAUUGUUUGGUGCCUGUUGGCUGUCUUGGUGAGCAUGCGUCCGAAUCGAGGAACAAAUUAUAUAAGAGCGAUCGGAGAAGAAAUGCAAGAAAAUGCAGUCGCCUAGAUACUAUGACCGAUAUUUUUAACAGAGCUCUAGAUACGUCUGAUCCUUGUUGUCUAGUAUUUAUUUAAAAGAAAGACAAAGGAAAAAUAAAAACAAAAAUAUGCCGCAAGAGGUAAUUUCUCUACUUAAAUCACCAUGCGUUGGAAGCGAUCAUGAUGACCAUGGUGAUUUCCAGGACAUCGACGAGGGCGAGAAGGACGAUGAAUGAGAACUUCUACAGAAAGAUCAUGAACUUGAUGUAAUAGCCUCAGACGAAGAGUUUUUUUAAAUUAAUAAAUAAUAAGUUUAAUUUUUUUG